rnacentral:rRNA from 1 species
AACGAACGCUGGCGGCAGCCUCAACACAUGCAAGUCGAACGCUCCGCAAGGAGAGUGGCAGACGGGUGAGUAACGCGUGGGAAUCUACCCAUCUCUACGGAAUAACUCAGGGAAACUUGUGCUAAUACCGUAUACGCCCUUCGGGGGAAAGAUUUAUCGGAGAUGGAUGAGCCCGCGUUGGAUUAGCUAGUUGGGGGGGU